rnacentral:rRNA from 1 species
CGCAGACGGUUAUUUAAGCAAGAUGUGAAAGCCCCGGGCUCAACCUGGGAACUGCGUUUUGAACUGGGUAACUAGAGUGUGUCAGAGGGGGGUAGAAUUCCACGUGUAGCAGUGAAAUGCGUAGAGAUGUGGAGGAAUACCGAUGGCGAAGGCAGCCCCCUGGGAUAACACUGACGUUCAUGCUCGAAAGCGUGGGUAGCAAACA